AUGUUGUGACUGUCUGCCCAUCUCUCAUUAUAGGGCCAUUGCUCCAAUCCACCAUCAAUGCUAGCAGCUUAGUUCUCAUAAAUCUUUUAAAAGGUCCAUAUAUACUUUCCUUUGUUAUUUAGUUUGUUCAGAUGAUGUAGUAAGAAGUAAGUAUUUUCAUUUUAAGAUUAUCAGGAAUUUUGUUUUAACAAGGGAUGAGCCGCCGACGUGAACCAUGAGGUGCCCCAAUCUCCUACUUUUGUGUCUACAUGCAUAUAAACAUAUCUGCAUAUGUAUGCCUAUAUAUAUGCAUAUAUCAUAUCAUACUAGUAGAAUGGUAUUAAUGUAGGCAUUAGUGCUAUUUACAAAGUUGAAAGUCACCAAAACAUGCUGGCACCAGCAAGUACCUAAAAGUGUACUGAAGGAAACUGCCAAAAGAACAAACUGCGGAAGGAUUCUGGUAGAAAAUUGAGAACAUUGAGAAUGAGUAAAUGCAACCGAUGCUUAAAGAAACUGUGUGUGUCUAUGCAUACACACACACACUUGUAUGGUAUGAUGAUCAUCUACCUACAUUAACUAAUAUAUAUGAGGCCUUUGAGAAUCAAUUUUCAUUUGCGUCUUUAAUUCAUGUUUCUGUUCCUAUAUCCAAUUACUAGUUUACUAUAUUGGUCAUUUUCAACCAAUUAUACUAACUGCCAUGGUCUUUUCUUCUACUAAUAAAAAGACAUUUAUACGGUGGAUAUUCUCCAAUAUGCUAGUUGUACAAUAAGAUAAUGAAGCUAAAAGGAGUCAGAAGUCUAUUUACUCUAUUUUGUCCAUUCAUACUUAAGCAUGCUUCAGAUUGCAAGUCUGUUUAGCCAGAUUACCUGGAUUUUUACUCCUCUAUACGAAUUGUGUGGCAUAAGAUGUUGACUAGCUUCAGUUUUUGCCAUGAUACUAGAAUCUGACUUUUGACUGAUUCCUGUCAUCCCUUCUUUUGGUGGAUGCGAUAUACACAUUCUAAGCAAGGAUAUUGUGCUUGCUACGUAAACCUUUUUUUGGCUCGCAGGUCUCCGUCCGACUGUGGAGAAUAAAGUUCUAUCCAUUGUGGAUGUUCGAGAUGUAGCUGAUGCUCUGCAGCUGGUGUAUGAGGAACCGAAUGCAUCAGGACGACACAUUUGUGCACCUCAUCGGGUGAAAAUGCAUGACUUAGUGGACAUACUGAAGAGCAUAUAUCCUCACUACAAAUAUCCUGAAAUGUGAUAUAACUAAAACCCUUCUUAUACUUUGCAUCAAUGCAAUUUGGAAUGUCGUAAUCUUAUGAUUCGUCUGAAUGUUAUUGAUCUAAGC
rnacentral:lncRNA from 1 species